rnacentral:rRNA from 1 species
GAUGAACGCUGGCGGCGUGCCUAAUACAUGCAAGUCGAGCGAACAGACGAGGAGCUUGCGCCUCGGACGUUAGCGGCGGACGGGUGAGUAACACGUGUAUAACCUACCUAUAAGACGGGGAUAACUUCGGGAAACCGGAGCUAAUACCGGAUAAGAUAUUGAACCGCAUGGGUCAAUAGUGAAAGACGGUUUUGCGGUCACUUAUAGAUGGAUCCGCGCCGCAUUAGCUAGUUGGGAAGGUAACGGCUUACCACGGCAACGAUGCGUAGCCGAAGUGAGAGGGUGAUAGGCCACCCGGGAACUGAGACACGGUCCAGACUCCUACGGGAGGCAGCAGUCGGGAAUCGUCCGCAAUAGGCGAAAGCCUGACGGAGCAGCGCCGCGUGAGUGAUGACGGUCUUCGGAUCGUAAAGCUCUGUUACUAGGGAAGAACAACUGUGUACGUAACUAUGCACGUCUUGACGGUAACUAAUCAGAAAGCCACGGCUAACUACGUG